rnacentral:misc_RNA from 1 species
GCAAACUUGGUCAUUUAGAGGAAGUAAAAGUCGUAACAAGGUUUCCGUAGGUGAACCUGCGGAAGGAUCAUUACUGAGGUACGCUUGGUGUUGCGUCAGCACACUGGUUACCCGCCCUUAUGUCAUAAGUGCUGGACCAGCUCUGUCUUUACGGGAGAGUUUGGCCAGGAAUAUUAUUUCGGUCGAAGAGUUGUGUCAGGUGUCUGCUCGUCCAGACCGGGCAUAACCGCGACCGGCCACAAUAUCUACAAUCACUUGAGAAAGCAUGAAGUCUGAAGCUUAUGUUAAUAAAGCAAAACUUUCAACAACGGAUCUCUUGGCUCUGGCAUCGAUGAAGAACGCAGC